rnacentral:rRNA from 1 species
UACGAAGGGGGCUAGCGUUGCUCGGAAUCACUGGGCGUAAAGGGUGCGUAGGCGGGUCUUUAAGUCAGGGGUGAAAUCCUGGAGCUCAACUCCAGAACUGCCUUUGAAUACUGACGAUCUGGAGAUCGGGAGAGGUUGGUGGAACUGCGAGUGUAGAGGUGAAAUUCGUAGAUAUUCGCAAGAACACCAGUGGCGAAGGCGGCUCACUGGCCCGAUACUGACGCUGAGGCACGAAAGCGAUGGGGAGCAAA